UACGUAGGGUGCAAGCGUUGUCCGGAAUUAUUGGGCGUAAAGAGCUCGUAGGCGGCUUGUCGCGUCGACUGUGAAAUCCCGCGGCUCAACUGCGGGUCUGCAGUCGAUACGGGCAGGCUAGAGUUCGGUAGGGGAGACCGGAAUUCCUGGUGUAGCGGUGAAAUGCGCAGAUAUCAGGAGGAACACCGGUGGCGAAGGCGGGUCUCUGGGCCGAUACUGACGCUGAGGAGCGAAAGCGUGGGGAGCGAACAGG
rnacentral:rRNA from 1 species